rnacentral:rRNA from 1 species
CCUACGGGAGGCAGCAGUGGGGAAUCUUGCGCAAUGGGCGAAAGCCUGACGCAGCCAUGCCGCGUGAAUGAUGAAGGUCUUAGGAUUGUAAAAUUCUUUCAGUAGGGACGAUAAUGACGGUACCUACAGAAGAAGCCCCGGCUAACUUCGUGCCAGCAGCCGCGGUAAUACGAAGGGGGCUAGCGUUGCUCGGAAUUACUGGGCGUAAAGGGAGCGUAGGCGGGUUAUCAAGUUGGAGGUGAAAGCCCAGGGCUCAACCUUGGAAUUGCCUUCAAAACUGAUAGCCUAGAGUAUGAUAGAGGUAUGUGGAACUCCGAGUGUAGAGGUGAAAUUCGUAGAUAUUCGGAAGAACACCAGUGGCGAAGGCGACAUACUGGGUCAUGACUGACGCUGAGGCUCGAAAGCGUGGGGAGCAAACAGGAUUAGAUACCCUGGUAGUCCACGCUGUAAACGAUGAUUGCUAGUUGUCGGACGGCAUGCCGUUCGGUAGCGCNGCUACGACAUAGACAUCCGCCGUGGGAGGUACGGUCGCGAGAUAAACUUAAUAGAGUAGACGCGUGAGAGUAGCGACGACGACGACGAGGGAGAGG